GACGAACGCUGGCGGCGUGCUUAACACAUGCAAGUCGAACGAAGUGGCGAACGGGUGAGUAACGCGUAAACAACCUGCCCUUCAGAGGGGGACAACAGUUGGAAACGACUGCUAAUACCGCAUACUGAAGGCGGGGAUUGCGUCGGAAUAGCGAGGUGGAGGGGUAACGGCCAACCAAGGCGAUGAUCAGUAGCCGGUCUGAGAGGAUGAACGGCCACAAUGGGACUGAGACACGGCCCAGACGCCUACGGGAGGCAGCAGUGGGGAAACUUCCGAAAUGGACGAAAGUCUGACGGAGCAACGCCGCGUGAGUGAUGACGGCCUUCGGGGUGUAAAGCUCUGUUAAGCGGGAAGCGGUACCGGAAUAGAAAGCCACGGCUAACUACGUGCCAGCAGCCGCGGUAAUAC
rnacentral:rRNA from 1 species